UUUGAAGUUUUUUAUUUUAUUUUCAUGAAUAUUUGAGAUUUUAAAUGAAUAGGUUUUCUGUUGUUAAAUGAUUUUGAAUUUCAUACCAGAAACCAACUAAAAUAAUGAUGGUGCUCAGACAUAUAUUUAUACAUUCAAAAGUUCAAAAAUCUGACCAAUAUAAGACUAAAAAUAAACUACAAAUAACUUCAAACUCAACUUCAACACCUUUCUUAAGAAUAAAUAAUAGUGUUUGAUGUGUUCUUAAUCAAAGCUAACUUUAUGACCUUAAAUUUCAUGUUUAGACCCAAGCUCUAUAGGCAAAGGCUAAUGAGGGUGGAAAAUGUCGACACACACAUCCCACUUCCAACGGCAACUACAAAAAAGUAAGAUGACAUAUUCAAAUCUCA
rnacentral:lncRNA from 1 species